UAUUUAAUUUGGCAUUUCUUAAACUUCUUUUUAUCAGGUACUUCAAGUAGUUUCCAUAUCCUGAUGAAAAGCAUAUAAAAAGAUUUGGGCUAUGAGCUAGGUUCAAUCAUUUGCAAGUCAAGUUUUGGUUUCAAAAGAGAGUAUGUAAUGUACUGUGUGGAAUUUGUGAGCGUUUGUGGAUAAUUUAUAGAAAAACGGUGGUGACAGUGGUAGAGAAAUCUGAAAGAGAUUUUAAUGUAAAUGGAGCAUGAAAUUCUAUUUAAUGGCUUGAGUGGUGGCAGUAGCCAUGUCCCUUGCAAUAAUUAAUGAAACAUAUAUAUACUUGUUUUUAUAUUCAGGUUCAGGGAAUGGGACAUUGGGCUGGGAUUUGAGGGUUCAUAUAGUUCUUUAGGUGUAGCAAGAGACAUUGAGUAUCUUCAUGAUGGGGAAGUUCCUCCUGUAAUCCAUCGAGAUAUCAAAUCUUCCAAUAUUCUUUUAGAUCAGUCCAUAUGAGCUGGUAAGCUCUCUCCCUCUACUAGCCUUACUAAAGAUAUUGGAUUUGAUAAUAUUUUAUUUGGGUGAUAUUUCACAUGGAGUGGUAUCUCAUUAAUUACAAGGGACAAGCAAGAUCUGUUGGAAAGGAAGAUAUCAGAGCAAUUACAAGGGACGCUCUUCGGUUUUGGGUGGAUGAGAGUAUGAAUGCAACAACCACCAAGGCCAACCACAAAUCAAGAGGAGUCAGAGACUUGGGAGGAUCUUGAAGAAUUAUUAAAACUUUGCCACACUUUGUUUCUAUGUUUAAUGUAAUAGACUAUUUUGCAACUACUAGACUAGUUUAAGUAGUGCAUGGUAUACUUUUUGUGAUGAUUCGGUGAUGAAGGUGGAUAUAUUAAA